ACCCGCACAAGCAGCGGAGCGUGUGGUUUAAUUCGUUGCUACACGAAGAACCUUACCAGGUCUUGACAUCCCGAUGCUAUUUCUAGAGAUAGAAAGUUACUUCGGUACAUCGGUGACAGGUGGUGCAUGGUUGUCGUCAGCUCGUGUCGUGAGAUGUUGGGUUAAGUCCCGCAACGAGCGCAACCCCUAUUGUUAGUUGCCAUCAUUCAGUUGGGCACUCUAGCGAGACUGCCGGUAAUAAACCGGAGGAAGGUGGGGAUGACGUCAAAUCAUCAUGCCCCUUAUGACCUGGGCUACACACGUGCUACAAUGGUUGGUACAACGAGUUGCGAGUCGGUGACGGCGAGCUAAUCUCUUAAAGCCAAUCUCAGCUCGGAUUGCAGGCUGCAACUCGCCUGCAUGAAGUCGGAAUUGCUAGUAAUGGCAGGUCAGCAUACUGCCGUGAAUACGUUCCCGGGCCUU
rnacentral:rRNA from 1 species